rnacentral:rRNA from 1 species
CUAUACAUGCAGUCGAACGAGUUCUGAUUAUUGAAAGGUGCUUGCAUCUUGAUUUAAUUUUGAACGAGUGGCGGACGGGUGAGUAACACGUGGGUAACCUGCCCUUAAGUGGGGGAUAACAUUUGGAAACAGAUGCUAAUACCGCAUAAAUCCAAGAACCGCAUGGUUCUUGGCUGAAAGAUGGCGUAAGCUAUCGCUUUUGGAUGGACCCGCGGCGUAUUAGCUAGUUGGUGAGGUAACGGCUCACCAAGGCAAUGAUACGUAGCCGAACUGAGAGGUUGAUCGGCCACAUUGGGACUGAGACACGGCCCAAACUCCUACGGGAGGCAGCAGUAGGGAAUCUUCCACAAUGGACGCAAGUCUGAUGGAGCAACGCCGCGUGAGUGAAGAAGGCUUUCGGGUCGUAAAACUCUGUUGUUGGAGAAGAAUGGUCGGCAGAGUAACUGUUGUCGGCGUGACGGUAUCCAACCAGAAAGCCACGGCUAACUACGUGCCAGCAGCCGCGGUAAUACGUAGGUGGCAAGCGUUAUCCGGAUUUAUUGGGCGUAAAGCGAGCGCAGGCGGUUUUUUAAGUCUGAUGUGAAAGCCCUCGGCUUAACCGAGGAAGUGCAUCGGAAACUGGAAAACUUGAGUGCAGAAGAGGACAGUGGAACUCCAUGUGUAGCGGUGAAAUGCGUAGAUAUAUGGAAGAACACCAGUGGCGAAGGCGGCUGUCUGGUCUGUAACUGACGCUGAGGCUCGAAAGCAUGGGUAGCGAACAGGAUUAGAUACCCUGGUAGUCCAUGCCGUAAACGAUGAAUGCUAGGUGUUGGAGGGUUUCCGCCCUUCAGUGCCGCAGCUAACGCAUUAAGCAUUCCGCCUGGGGAGUACGACCGCAAGGUUGAAACUCAAAGGAAUUGACGGGGGCCCGCACAAGCGGUGGAGCAUGUGGUUUAAUUCGAAGCAACGCGAAGAACCUUACCAGGUCUUGACAUCUUUUGAUCACCUGAGAGAUCAGGUUUCCCCUUCGGGGGCAAAUGACAGGUGGUGCAUGGUUGUCGUCAGCUCGUGUCGUGAGAUGUUGGGUUAAGUCCCGCAACGAGCGCAACCCUUAUGACUAGUUGCCAGCAUUUAGUUGGGCACUCUA